UAUCAGUACAGUGGAAUAAAAGCUGAAGAAAGAAUGGGGGGAGGAGGUGCUGUCAAAACCUUCCAGUUACUCUGUGACUUGGGAGAGGUUUACAUUUUUCAGGGUUUUGGAAAUGUUUCUGUUUCUCAACAAAAGGAAGGAAAGAGAUGGAGUAGUUAUGGGGACAAGGGAUUCCGUGGAAGUGAAGCAAAGGGAGAGAAGACUGGAAAGCAGGGCUGUUACCUGGAACCCUGCUCUGCUAUUUUCCUCUGAGUGAGUGACCUUGUUCAUCAGAAGAAACCUCUUCUUAAGAAAAGCAGAGCUGGGCUAAAGUGAGGGACAGGGAGCAGUACGGAGCUUUUUGUUUCCAUAAACUUACCGAGGAAUGGCACGCAACUUCAAUGCACAUGUGAUUAAACUAAUCUAGUUAAAAUCAGAAAAGGAUUUCUCAUAAUUCAAUUGGAGUUGUUUUUAAUGUUUGGACUUUGGUCAAGGACAGCUUUAUUGAUUGAAUUUAAUUGCUUAUAUUUUCCUGUCCAUUUAUUGAAGCCCAUUUUUCAAGUCACUUGAGAGGCUGCUAACAUUUCAGAAAGGGGAUAUGCCAAAGCAUUGCUUUAAUUCAUUAUCUUUUUGGACAUACAGUAGUUGCUACUUGGCCCAAAUUAAAUCCGUUAGAGAAUGUGAUCGCGUAAUUACUUACAGGUAUCCAAAACUGCUCUUAACAGAAUUCUCUAGGAGGUUAUGCAUAAGAUUUGUUUUGCCCUUACAUUGGAUGCAAAUGUCUGGAAUUUCAAUGAUAAAUAAAUAUUUCAUCAACCGAGGACAGAUUUUUCUCAUUUCCAUAUGUUGCUGAUGGACUAAAAUUCUUGUGAUGUGUUUAUUUUUCCUUAAAAAUAAAAGUCUCUUAUAAAUUAGCUCAGUCACUUUUUCAAAAUAUGUAAACACAGUGAUCCUUGAGGUAAAGAGGAAACCACCUGUGAUUCUGCCUUGUUUUUUUUUUCUUUCAAACUAUGCUCAACCCUGAAAGACUUUCUAGACAAAACUUCACAUUAGCUAGAUUGCUUCACACUGUGUUCUGAUGAUGUCAAGUCUGUGAUUCUCUAAAAGUUACGUCAGUCUGAUUCCAAAUGGAGUGAAGGGCUGGAUGUUCCCAGCCUGGAAAGCACUAUAGGCUGGAAAACACCAUAGCAAGGUCAGCAAUGAGUUGCACUGCAAACCCCCAGCCAUAGCCCUUCGACAGAACCAGAGCUCCUGUAGCUCUGUCCCUGCUUUCCUCACCUAUUUGCUCCGAUUUCCUCGUCUUUUGCUCCCAGUUGUGGCUUCCUGGCUUGGAGAAGUUCUCAGUCUAGCAAAGAAAUGGGACAGGAGCCUGUCUGUAAGGACAGAGGAGCUUCUGCUGGCAGUUGUGGACCCACCUGGUGUUGGGCUCAGCUCUCUGGCUCUGCACUGAAAUUACCUGGCAUUAUCUUGUGUUUUGUGAAAACUAAAUCUGCAAUAGUUGCGCUUGUUAAAAUUGUAUUUAUUGAUAUGAGGUCUACGCAAAAAAUGUGAAUCUACCUAUAAAAACUCACAUUCAGUGCUUUUCAGGCACAUUUUGUUAGGGAGAUGCAUAAGACCAGACUUUUUUAAUUUCAAAAACCUCAAAUCAGACACAAUCCAGACUUACAUAUUAAUUUUUCUUAUUUAAGAGAGCAUAAUGCUUCCUUGGAGUGAGAUAAGGUUCCCACAAAGACCCCAGGAUUUAUCCUCUUCUUGCAGUAGCUCUGUGGUUAACAAACGCAAGCUGAAAUACCUGAUAUAUGUAAUACCUCUCCUCCUCACAAAGCACCCAACAUUUAAAUGUUGCCUAAUUCACAAAAGUUUUGCUUUGGAAUCCAGUGAUCAUAUUUGAUAAAAGGCACAAGGAAUUCCUUUCACAAGGAAUGGAACCACAGAUGGUUAUGUGAUUUGAGGGCCACUGAACAUCAACAGUUUUACCAAGUGAAUCAGAAUUACAGAAACACCUGCAUGACUGCAUCUGCAGACUCAGCUAAAUUACGCUUCCAUCCAGCCACAUGAUAUUUAGUGUGUAAUUCUUAUGCAUUUUAAUCAAAUGCAUUGUAAUGACAGUAGAAAAUUUCAAUAUGAAUGCACCUUAAUGUAGGAGUAACUAAUAGCUGCCAUCCAUUAGUACCAGCUAAGAGACAUACUUCCUCCUAAGCAACAGGGGCACGGUUAUUUUAACUCAUUACCUGCUUUGUAAAUGACAUUUAAUUGCACAUGAAGUGGAGAUGUUCACAGGACAUCCUGGGAAUGCAAGACUGAGCACCCAGAAGUUAGCAAAUAUUUGAAAAAACAUUGUAGAGAGGUGUUCAUGAACUCCCUGCAUGGCAAGACAGGGUCUGUGCACUCUGCCCAAAUGGUGCCUCCUCCCUGUAAAACUGCUCUGACUUUUGCAGUUUAAUGCUGUAAAAUUUUUGCUGAGCACAAGCAAAUGUGAAGUUUGUAAAGGCUUUUGAGAUUUGAUGGAUUUUUGAGACUUCCAUAAAACAUUUCUUGAGAAACAGAUGAUGUAGGCCAGUCUCCUGAUUGUUGCUUUCAAACCAGGAUGUUAUCAGACCUUUACAGGGUCAAACUGUGAGAACAGUAACACUGAAAAAUAUUUCCUAGAACCUUUCUUAUGAAUAGAUGAAUUAGUUUGAGUAAAAGUUUUCUAGAAGGAAAUCAGCCUGACAAAAACAUGAAUUUUGGAAAAUGUCUUCUGAUGGUUAAUACUAGGUAAAGUUAUGAGCACUGAAAUUCAAGCUUUAAAACAGAAAAGACUGGCCAACCUUGACCAGCCAGCCUUGGGAGAUGGAAAACUGUGAGUCACUGUGUGCUGAAAUUGCUCUUAUUUGGUUCUGUCCUGAGAUGUGGCCCCAGUUUAGCCAGAGGUCAGUCUGAUGUCCACAGGGACUAAAUUCAAGAUUUCUGCCCUGGUACGAGGUUCUGCCCACAAUGUAGCUGGGGGGAUCAGCACCAGAUCUCUGGAAAACAGACACUGUUUUAUCCUGGUACUGUUAGAGGCCUGUUCAUGCUUCUAGUGCCAGUAGGGAAAACCUGAAAGCAUGGAGUGAAGUAGAAAGUGAAGAUUUAAACUAAGUAAAUUCCUGAAGGGCUGGCUAUUGAAACACUGUGCUUCCUGCCCAUGUUUGACUUUACUUCAGUUCAUUGGUCCCUAGUGCACCCAGAAUUAUAGCUCAGUAAACUUCUCCAAGGAUCAAAACAACCAUCCAAAAUCUCAAAGUGUGGCUUAAAAGCAGGAAACCUCCUAGCAGAAAAGAGAUUGAGAGAACAUGUCUUGACUAGGUCAUUUCCUCUUUCAGAUGUGGACACAUUUUCAUUACAAAUUACUCUGAAAUCAGUAAUUAUUUUCAUAUGGUUAACAAAAAAUACUGAUUCAACAUUUGCAUCUCCCUGAAUUGCACAGUGGAGUGGGCUUGCAGAUGGCACAAGAUGCAUCAGUUUUACAAAACAUAUUGAAGACUUCAACUUCACGAUGGAAAAUGUUCUGUCAUCACUUAACUUAUAGGCACGUGAAUUCCAGCAGAGUGGGGAGCCCACAGUUACAAGAACCACAAAAGAUGCUAAAACCAGGUACACGGAAAUAAAAUGUAAAUACUCAAAGUUAGCUCAGCUUUCCAUUUGUUUUCGUAACUACUGGGUGUUAAAGCUCCAACCAUCCUGCCUAGGUGGAGCCACACACAGAGCCCAAACAUCCAAGUCCCACUUAAUUCCUUAAAAAACCUGCCCUUUCUUUAAUGGAGUGACUUAACUGUAUACUGUUUCAUGGCAAACAGAAGGGAACACACAGAAUAAAGCUACUUUAUGCAUUAACCUUGGAUUCCCGUUUGUGUCUAAGAAAUAUUUACCAUGAGCCUGCAAACCCCAUCAAGCAGCUCCUGUGUGGAAGAAGGAGAAGGGAAGGGAGGUUGCACUCGGUGGUCCUGUUAAGUGCAGUGAUUUCUAAUAACAGCCACGUUUGCUGUGAGUGAUCUGGAUCAACAUCAAAAAAAAACCCCCAUCUAGUCAAGUGCCCAGCAAGGGGUCUAUUCUCAUGUCCAUGCUCAUAUGUUAAGUCCCAUUGACAAGCAUUAGUGGGAACUGUGUGCACAUAUGGAUAUGUGAAUAGCCCCAAUGGGAUCUGCAUAAAGUAGUGUUUGACUAUACAGAGAUCCCUUCAAAUGCCACGAUAAAAUAGUCAAGGGGAAGAAGCCCUAAAAAGUGCUGUGAACAAGCCAAACAAUUUAAAGAAAUUGAUAAAUAAUGGAGGUUAAAAAUGAAACAGCAAAAUUUAAAUAGCAUUAGAAUCUGUUAUUUGAACUAAAUACAAAAUGAGAAUUAUCUUUAAGAAAUUAACCCUGCCCAAAAUUUAUAAAACCAGCUCAUAACUCCAAGUUCUCUAAUUUUUAGAGCCUCUUUGUCUUCCUCUUGCUCUAUAUCCUAAAUAGAAACAUGAGACACAGAAAAAAGCUCUUACCGACAAGAGGUGAGUUAAGAAAAGCACAGAUAAGCAUUGCUCUGCUGAAGAACACAGGACAUGAAAUAGUGGCAGCUCUACAAUAGGUCAAUGAUAAUGAUGCUCCUGAGGUUAUGCAACACCAACAGCCACUCUAUAAAUGUCAGAGCCUUGCAGAAGCUUCCUGGGAGAGGUUCCUUGCUACCUGAAAAGCCUCCAGCAGCCAAUCUGCUGGACAACAAAAAUCUCUGAAGAAUUUGUUCUCUUUCUGUAGGCAAUCUUCAGAUUUUUUCCUGAAACCACUACCUAAUUCAAAAUCCCAUUUUGGAGAUUUUGAGGAUUUUUGAAUGCCAUUUUGAUGAUUUGGAGAACUGUUCUUACUUAUGCUCACAUAGCUGAAACAACAAAACCCUUCCUGACAGCCACACAUAAAUAGGUGCAAUGAACAAUGAAAUCAUCAAUUAACAGAGCAGACAGCAAUCACUGCUGUGAUAAGUGCCCAUAUUAAGAACCUAAAUUGAUGGGAUAUGGAAUAGAUGAUAAGCAAAUAAUGUGUAUCAAUCAGGCCUAAUUGUGAUCAAGAUCACUGGUUUCUUAGCCUGUUCUGGUGCCCGUAGUGGAAUUCAACCACUGAAUUGAAAGUUAUUGCAGAGUCCUGCAUGUCUACGAAAGUCUCACUGGCUUCAGACCCAGGUCCAAAUUGUUCCAGCAAUGCUGCUUUGGAACAUUCCGAGGUGAAGCAAUCCAUAUGACUGACAGUGAAAGCUCUUAUCUUACAGGAUGUCCUUUUCCAGUGGUCAUUUAGACCAAGAGCCAACCUAUUAAUCACAGCAAACCAAAGCUUGUUAGGUCCCUGCUGGCCAAAGCACUUGAGAAGACAAAAGACACCACUUUCCAGCUGACACCUGCAAGUAAUUACACAUGGUGAUAGCAGUGCGUGAAAGAACAAUUUGAGAACCAAUGCUAAGAAGAGAGGUGCAUUUCUUUUUUAUAGACUGAACUAUUUUCUGAUCUCUAAAGUGCCUUAGGGUCUUAGAAAUCAAAGGCAAAUUAGGGAGGGUAAAGAAAAUCAGUUGCCAGGUGUUCAUCUGGAGAAAUGAUAGAUCUCCAGUGAUUUUCACCAGUUCUGGAAGCAAAUUCCCCUUCUAAGAUGACACUGUAUUUUAUUAUAAGGUUUUUAAUCAGAGUAAUGGCAGAGAGCAACUGCUCCAUGGAGAAGAGAAUCUGGAGGCCCACUCCUCCCAGAGUGUUUUCUCUACCUACCAACAGAUUUUUCAGUCUGUCUCCAAUGUCUUUGGAUAUCAGGACACAUAUGAGGCAUGGCAAAGACAGGCAUGCAUUUUUAGGAAAAGGUAAAAUAUGAUGGCUGAUCCUUUCCUAAAAACCUCCUGGAGAGAAGAGGAGACAAGAUGAGAAGAUGGCUCCUCCUCUGAAGAGCACCAAGCAACCACAGCCAGAUUUCUACUUCUGGAAGAUAAUCUACCCCCAGGUUCGACUUCCAAGACUUCUUCAUAUUGAAAGAAAAGAGGAAGAUGAAUUUACACUCACAGACUGAGAAAUAAGUCACCAUCAUGUUGUACCACCAUAUCCUGGAUCUAUCAGAUAUUUUAAAGAAAAAGAAGUUUCUCAGAUAACAUCCUUCCCAUCAACUAAUUUCAGCUCGUAUUUCAUUUUAAGAUGCUGAGUUGAUUGGUGGGACAAUUUUCUGCUCCGAGUUGAUCACCAGCAUCACUGCAAGCCAAAGGCAGGUCCUCAGCCACUGCAUCAAUCUCUGCCUAAGUCCCUGAGACUGUUGAGCUGUCCAGGUUUUGCUAUCACUGACGAUUUCAAUGUCCCUCAAAUCUUUUGCAUUUGAGUUAUCAAUUAAUAAUGCUGCUCAGUGUCUUUUUUUGCUUUGGUUUGUUAUAGAGUUAUCAGUGUCUCUUCUAUGGACAGUGUGUUGUGUUGUAGUUAUGGGGCAGAUACCAUCAAAGACAUUCUGCAUUUACACAUGUAAGCAAUGAAUGAAAUGCGUGAAUCUCACAGAAUUUUGUACUGAAAUUUCCCUGAAGAAUAGUCCUCUUGGGAAAACUACCCAGGACCACCUGGAGGCACAUGUUCCAUGCAGCUGGUGGAGUGUGUGAGGGAAGGCUGUAAUUCCAGCUAGCUACAGACAGCUGAGGGACCACCUCAGGUAAAUAAUUAGGAGGUGAACAAACAAAAAAGUGCCAUCUCAUCAUGUACCAUACAUGCACUGUGAGCUCUGCUGAAUGGAGUUACUUUGCAGAGCUCGACACAAUCACCUUGAGCUGAGGUUUUGCAGAGGAUGCUUAGUAUAAACUGAAAAUGUUUUAACUGUCAGAAAUGGCAUCUUCCCUGGAGUAUCUUUCUCUAGGGAAAAACAGCCUGAUCCUCACCAGCUGUACAUGGCAGUGCUGCUCCCACAGAGGAAAGGGCUGUCGAUCCACAGCAGGGGUGGCUGGAAAGACCCCAGGGAGCAGUAAAGGAGACCUGAACAUUAAAGUAUUUCAUAUCAGAUCCAGUUACAUCUGUCUGUAAAAUUAGUAACAACCUAGACACCUGUUAGUUAUGAUUCAUGGGCUAAUAAAUAUGUUAAAAGGCAGAAAGGAUUGUGCUGAGCCUUGCACAGAACUGUCUGUGCUAUUGGAUUUGAUAGAGUUUAGCUCCCAGCUUUGGUCAGGGGCUAGGCUGAACUGUGCUCCAUCCAAAGUUAGAUGGGAGACCUCCAAGAACAUGCCAGAGCUGAAAGAAAUGGGAUGAGGUCCCUGCUUUCUCUUCCUUCUGCAUUAGAUUGAGCUGUAGUUGGAGGCACCAUGAGAUGGUACUGGAGAGUCUUGAAAUGAUUACUGCCUGCUCAUGGCUUUGACAGUUGUUGAGUUUUUUUGGGUAUUGAGAGAGGAGCAAGUGUGUAGGAUGCAAGCAACACAUAGGGAACUGCUGUGGUGAGUGUGUAUGACCAGAGCAGAAGAGAGCUGUGUGAGCAGCGUGACAAGUGUUUGGCAGCAUUUCUUACAGUAAUCAAUCACUGAGACAGAAUUGUAUCAGAAGAAGAGGCUUGGGGUGAAGUUUCAGGCUAAUAUUCUGCCUGUAACCCGCUCCCAUCCAGGAAUGUCUGAUUCACAUUGUGAAUAAAACAGGCUUCUAGGUGGAAGACGGCCAGGGAUGUGGUCACUGCUUCUCCUUUGCCACAGAGCAGAGGCACAGAACUCUGAGGAAUCGGCCAUUUCAUACCAGGAGGCAGGCAAGGGCUGAAAGAUCUACUGGUAGGGGGCUGCUUUUUGGGGGGUUUGUGUAGCUCCAGCAGCACACAAACUGUCUCUUUUUAAAAAUAAUACGUUAUUAGAGAUAUAUGAAUGUGUGAAAUCUGCACACCUGGCCUGAGUCUGGAGAGCCCAUGAAAUGUGUUAGGCUUGUUAUUACUUGAUUAUUCCAUUGCACAGGUGUACGUUCCUGCUCCCAAAUGCUUAUGCAAUGACUGCUGAUGUAUAUAGACUCAGCACUGAAGGCUAGAGAAAGCCCCUUGAUACAUGACAAUUUAUUGUGUGCUAUUGUCCCUGCAUUAAAUGCACUCACUUGGUUUUAGUUACCACAGGUCUUCUGGUCUUGCUUUGAAAACAAAAUGUGAAAAAAGAUAGCAUCUACUUUGCACCUUGAAAAUCAGCCUUCAGCUACUCUGGCUAUUAAAACCCCCUAAAUUCUCACUUGAGUUUGUUUGACUUCAACUUGCAGUUGUCCAUUUUUCUCUGAAAGAUUAAAAAUGUCAUCAGUAUCCAGCAGAUAAUUCCAGACACAUCUUGUAGAUACUUAAAUACUUACACAUUACACUCAUGUCACGUCCCAGUGUUCUUUCCAGUAAGCAAGGCAGAUUGAGCGCUUUAAGUCUUUCACCAUUAAGCACUUUCUUCAGCCCUAAAAUCCUCUCUGUGGCUCUUUUCUGCACCCUCUCCAGUUUUCCAACAAUUUUUUAAAAGUGUGAGCACUAGAAACCACAUAAUCUUGUAUUGUCUGUAUUAAAAGCAAUUGUGUUUGAAUGGGCUCAGCUCAUGAAGCAACUGAGAUCAUUUGGAGUGUCAUUCUCAUCGCUGUCUGUCACUCCACCAAUGUUCCUGUCACCCUCAGAUUUAUCAGCUGUGAAUUUACAGUGUUUACAUCCAAAUCAUUGAAGAAAACAUUGACUAGCAUCUGACCUGAUGCUGAUCCUGGUAAAACUCUCCCGUUUGAUAACAACUCCUGAUUCAUAGCUACUUUUUAACAGGCUGUUUGCCAAUUCCUAAUCUAAUUAGUGCAUGCUCUGCUGCUAUUUCUAAUGCUUUUUGAUCAGAAUAUCACACAGUGUUAAUUCUAAUCUCCAUUAAAAAAUGAAUAUCACA